GACGAACGCUGGCGGCGUGCCUAAUACAUGCAAGUAGAACGCUGAAGGGAGAAGCUUGCUUCUUCUGGAUGAGUUGCGAACGGGUGAGUAACGCGUAGGUAACCUGCCUGAUAGCGGGGGAUAACUAUUGGAAACGAUAGCUAAUACCGCAUAAGAGGUAAUAACACAUGUUAUUAGUUUAAAAGGGGCAAUUGCUCCACUAUCAGAUGGACCUGCGUUGUAUUAGCUAGUUGGUAAGGUAACGGCUUACCAAGGCGACGAUACAUAGCCGACCUGAGAGGGUGAUCGGCCACACUGGGACUGAGACACGGCCCAGACUCCUACGGGAGGCAGCAGUAGGGAAUCUUCGGCAAUGGGGGCAACCCUGACCGAGCAACGCCGCGUGAGUGAAGAAGGUUUUCGGAUCGUAAAGCUCUGUUGUAAGAGAAGAACGGAUGUGGGAGUGGAAAAUCCAUGUCGUGACGGUAUCUUACCAGAAAGGGACGGCUAACUACGUGCCAGCAGCCGCCGUAAAA
rnacentral:rRNA from 1 species